GAUGAAGAACGCAGCGAAAUGCGAUACUUGGUGUGAAUUGCAGAAUCCCGUGAACCAUCGAGUCUUUGAACGCAAGUUGCGCCCGAAGCCACUAGGCCGAGGGCACGCCUGCCUGGGCGUCACACGCCGUUGCCCCCCCAUCUACUCCUUCGGGAUUGCGGGGGGGCGGAUGAUGGCCUCCUGUGCGCCUAGCCGCGCGGUUGGCAUAAAUACCAAGUCCUCGGCGACGCACGCCACGACCAUCGGUGGUUGCGAAACCUCGGUUGCCCGUCGUGUGCGUUCGUCGCGCAUCGAGGGCUCGAAAAAAUGCUCGGCUCCGGCUGGGCUUUCAACGCGACCCCAGGUCAGGCGGGGUUACCCGCUGAAUUUAAGCAUAUCAAUAAGCGGAGGA
rnacentral:misc_RNA from 1 species